UUUAGUGAGGCUGAAACUUGCUUCACAAAUUAGCGAGUUCGCAAAAUAAAACACGCUAGUCCUCCAACACCGACAACUUUCAACGCCUCUCUCUCGUUUCGUUCAAUAUCGACUCCUGCUCUUCUUCCAAGCUAUACUCAGUUAAGUUUUUCUGGUCUCUCGCUUUGCAUUACAAUUGAGGUAGGGCUUGCAGUUGCAGAGAGAUAUAGAAGGAGGUGAACCAAAAUAUAUUAUUGGGUUAUUGCCUUUCAACGACAACUAUAUAUUUUGGGUGGCUUCAGGCUCUGCCAUCGCCGUAGAGAUUGAAAGGAGGUUUCUUGGGUGUGGCUAGAGGAUGUGGGUGGCAACACUUGGAUGUGUUUGCUUGGUUUGCUAAACUCGAUGGCAACACUUGGCUUUCAUUUUACAAAUUUCAUUUUGGAGCAGAGUUCCAAUUCGUAGAAGUUCCAAAAGGGGAGAAGCUGAAAAUAAUGAAAUCAGAAACAGAGAGAGAAGAAACGAAAAGGGAUGGUGAAGAGAGAGGAAGAAAAGAGAGAGGGGAGAGAGGAAAGAAGAAAAUGCUUCACUAAUUAAAUAUUAGAAUUUAUUUGCCUCUUUCCUUAAUGAAAUAAUGAA